rnacentral:lncRNA from 1 species
CGAAUAUGAAAGUUGCUCCAUUUUGAGUCCUGAACAUGGUGCCUUCAAUCGUUGCCUUGACGAGCAAUCCCAUCACCUCGUUGACUCGUCUCGUCUUCAAUCACGUCAUCGAUCCGCCAUCGACUAUCAAUUGAUCUCGUCUCGCACUUGCUUUCGUCAGGCUCGACUCCUGGAUCAUAUCACUGUGUUACUCUUCUUUUUUGGCUUCGAGUCUGUUUCAAUAGUUUCAUCUAGUGCUUGGAAGAGAGGCCUCUUUGCAGAGAUUGCAAUCGUUUCUUCGGUGUAAUUGAGAACUUCAGUGUCAGUGUUGCAUACUUUAUCUUUCCCUUUCGUGUUUUUCUUGUCUGAACUCUUGUUCAUCUCAGUUGAAUUCUUCACAUCACUUAUAGAAGUUGAAGGAUCUAUUUCAAUGAUUGCAGGUGAGGAAUUCACAUUUGUGAUGGUGGGUAGAGAGUUAAAGACGAAGAUGAUUUCAUAGCGGUAUUUGGGUGGAUUUUGCUUUUUUGUGUCACUUUUAUAUAGAAUGGAAACUCUUUUUCACUACUGGUUUUCAUAACAUUGUUCAGCUCUCCAUUUGGGUUCUGCGAUAGAUAAAAUGCAUUUUAC